UACGUAGGGUGCAGGCGUUAAUCGGAAUUACUGGGCGUAAAGCGUGCGCAGGCGGCCUCUUAAGUCAGAUGUGAAAUCCCCGGGCUCAACCUGGGAAUUGCGAUGGAGACUGCAAGGCUAGAAUCUGGCAGAGGGGGGGUAGAAUUCCACGUGUAGCAGUGAAAUGCGUAGAGAUGUGGAGGAACACCGAUGGCGAAGGCAGCCCCCCUGGGUCAAGAUUGACGCUCAUGCACGAAAGCGUGGGGAGCAAACAGG
rnacentral:rRNA from 1 species